AAAAAUCCUGAAACACCCCCUUCCCCGAAUCAAUAAUCAUUUGUGCAUCCCCAUUAGCCCCUUCUGAAGCAAAGCAAAGAGAACCCUAGCCCUAGGAUCCUUGCCGCCGCCGUCCCCAAGUUUUCGGCGCCUCCAGUUCUUCCUCUUCCCCCUGUUCGGAACCCAGGUAGCUCGGCUCGUCAUCCCCAUCUUCCCUGUCUUCUCUGUUCGUGGCUUGGAGCAGCUCGCCGUUGGUUCGUCCUUUGCCAUCACCUCGCCUAUGGUCGUCGUCUCGCUGGUUGCCAUCCGUGUCUCCGUCGAAGGUUAGUGAUGGAUAUGUUUAAUUUUGCUUCUGGUUACUGAUGGCUCUGUUAGUCUGUUUAAUUUUGCUUCGCAUCCGCUCGCCUCACCUAUCGUCGUCGUCUCGCGGGUUGCCAUCCAUGUCUCGUCGAAGAAGGUUCAGUGUUGGCUUCAACUUUCAAAUGGGAAUUGGGAGCUGGUGAAGAUAAUAACAUCUUCUAGAACUGAGUCUGUUGUUUUACUGCCUGAUGGAAAAGUAAGAUAUGAUCUAGAAUUACCAUAGUAUGUUUGUUCCAUCUAGCUGGACUCAGUGAGACAACUGAAAAAUGUUGUUUUAAUUUAACCUUGUUAAUCAUGUAAAAUUCAGACAAAAGCAGGGCCUAUUUUGGUUGCCAUAAAUCCCUUCAAGAAAGUUCCUUUGUAUGGUAAUGAUUAUAUUGAAGCCUACAAGCGUAAGAAUUAGAAGGGCCUGUUUUAUUUUACUUUUUGACUUAGCUACAUUAAAGUAAUAUUCUCUAUCUUUAACUGAUGCAUUGCAAUUCAAUUCAACUAUUUUUAAUGGAAGUAUGAUUAUAUGUUAAUUGCCAA